UCUCCGUAGGUUAACCGGCGGAAGGAUCAUUAAGAAUUUAAAAGCAUUGUCUGGCACUGUUGCCCAUUCUAACCCUUUGUGAACUAAAACUCUGUUGCUUCGGGGACGACCCCGCCGUUUCGGCGGUGGCGCUCCCGGUGGCCAAUUAUUAAACUCUGCAUCUCUUGCGUCGGAGUCUUAAAGAAAUUUAAACAAAACUUUCAACAACGGAUCUCUUGGUUCUGGCAUCGAUGAAGAACGCAGC
rnacentral:misc_RNA from 1 species